GGCUUCCUACGGGAGGCAGCAGUGGGGAAUAUUGCACAAUGGGCGGAAGCCUGAUGCAGCGACGCCGCGUGAGGGAUGACGGCCUUCGGGUUGUAAACCUCUUUCAGCAGGGACGAAGCGAGAGUGACGGUACCUGCAGAAGAAGCACCGGCCAACUACGUGCCAGCAGCCGCGGUAAGACGUAGGGUGCGAGCGUUGUCCGGAUUUAUUGGGCGUAAAGAGCUCGUAGGCGGCUUGUCGCGUCGACCGUGAAAACUUGGGGCUCAACCCCAAGCCUGCGGUCGAUACGGGCAGGCUAGAGUUCGGUAGGGGAGACUGGAAUUCCUGGUGUAGCGGUGAAAUGCGCAGAUAUCAGGAGGAACACCGGUGGCGAAGGCGGGUCUCUGGGCCGAUACUGACGCUGAGGAGCGAAAGCGUGGGGGGCGAACAGGAUUAGAUACCCUGGUAGUCCACGCUGUAAACGUUGGGCGCUAGGUGUGGGGGGCCUCUCCGGUUCCCUGUGCCGCAGCUAACGCAUUAAGCGCCCCGCCUGGGGAGUACGGCCGCAAGGCU
rnacentral:rRNA from 1 species